rnacentral:rRNA from 1 species
UGAGUUUGAUCCUGCCUCAGAUUGAACGCUGGCGGCAGGCCUAACACAUGCAAGUCGAACGGUAACAGGAAGCAGCUUGCUGCUUUGCUGACGAGUGGCGGACGGGUGAGUAAUGUCUGGGAAACUGCCUGAUGGAGGGGGAUAACUACUGGAAACGGUAGCUAAUACCGCAUAACGUCGCAAGACCAAAGAGGGGGACCUUCGGGCCUCUUGCCAUCGGAUGUGCCCAGAUGGGAUUAGCUAGUAGGUGGGGUAAAGGCUCACCUAGGCGACGAUCCCUAGCUGGUCUGAGAGGAUGACCAGCCACACUGGAACUGAGACACGGUCCAGACUCCUACGGGAGGCAGCAGUGGGGAAUAUUGCACAAUGGGCGCAAGCCUGAUGCAACCAUGCCGCGUGUAUGAAGAAGGCCUUCGGGUUGUAAAGUACUUUCAGCGGGGAGGAAGGGAGUAAAGUUAAUACCUUUGCUCAUUGACGUUACCCGCAGAAGAAGCACCGGCUAACUCCGUGCCAGCAGCCGCGGUAAUACGGAGGGUGCAAGCGUUAAUCGGAAUUACUGGGCGUAAAGCGCACGCAGGCGGUUUGUUAAGUCAGAUGUGAAAUCCCCGGGCUCAACCUGGGAGCUGCAUCUGAUACUGGCAAGCUUGAGUCUCGUAGAGGGGGGUAGAAUUCCAGGUGUAGCGGUGAAAUGCGUAGAGAUCUGGAG